CAAUCAACUAAACGCACGUGUUCCCCUCCACCUACACAUGCCGAUUCGUGGAAUCGUGGAAUGUUUCUUUGACAUUUCUUUCCUGCAAACCCCGUUCCGUUUUUCCUCUUCAUCUUUUCAAACAGCCACCACCUGUUUGGGCCCUUUCUGAAAAAGGUAAUUAGUCAACUGGCGGCUCUCACACGCACGCAAUGCCAGCCAGUCAGAACGAAACCACCUGUCCCCGGAUGGGGGAGAGAGAUGGAAAUAUCCCAGUAUAACUGUCCGAAUGGAAACAUGAGAAAGGGAGAAACAGAACAGAUCUCCUCUGCACACAUUUGUGGGCUAUUUGGAUAUCUAUCUAUAUUACUCAGCACUAAAUUACCAUUAAUGCUAAUGUGGAUCACUUUUUUGAACAGAGUCAGGAACAGAAGCAACAAAAUUAGAAAAGCAUAAAGAAUGAAAUUAAAAUAGGGAGCGACAUGAGAGGAAUGAAGGGAAUUCAAAGAGCAGAAAAAACAGAACGAAGAUAAAACAGUAGGAAGAACAACAAAGAAGGCCCGAAAUUAACUCACAAAUUAAUUGUGGAAUCGCUUGAGAAAAUGUGAAAAAUGUUGUUCGAGUGAUCCGUUGUUCCGUCUGUAGUUUCUGUAACUAUAACUAUAACGAAAAGGUUAAGAGUUCAAGCGCACCACUCAGUCCAGUCCGCCGCCCGUACAUGUGUAUUCAUGUUUGUAGUUCCGCCUCCAUUACUACUGCUGGGUGAUGUUUCCUCUACUUCGUUCCGUUCCUCCGCCGCCCCUCUCUUGGUUGGGUUUCUGCCGGAACAAAUUGCUGAAAAUUCUGGGAAGUCUUGCCAUAGUUCAGAUUAAUAGGUGGUGGUACUUGGAUCUUGCCAUGGGGACAAACAAACAAUUUCCGUUGAAUCAUUCGUUUGCCAUAUCGGAUUUUGUCCUACUCUUAUUUUAUUUUUGAGAACUUUUGUCCAGAUCAGCAGAAAUUCAAACUGCAACGACGCCGCGCAAUUCUUCAACAAUCGAAAGACGCACGGGGGAGGGUGACGACGAAUACGACGAUGUCUGUCGGCUUUUGAAAGAUGAAGGAAGGCGGUGGCUGGUGACUGGCAUUUGAGACGGGGGAUAUAGUAUUGUAUAAAUCAGCAGAAAACCCAACAACAACAUGAGCGAACGGGCACAAAAAAUAAUAAACCUUAAUUCGAAGCUUGAAGCUUGAUUCAUUCAUAUUACACCCCACCCAGAGCACAGCCCAGAGGGGUGGAUGUGGACGGAACGUGGGGGCAGUAACAGUCUCGGACCCAAUUGAGCUAUGAAAACCGAUCAAACGUCGUCGUCGAGCCCACAAUCGAAAAUUGUUGCCAGGCACGAGAGCAAUGACAUGCCAUGCCAUGCCAAAAACAACAAGAGAGAGAGAGAACCCGAUCUGAAAACCAAAACUAAACCCAAUCACCACCAAUCGACCGUUUCUCGGGCGAAAAAUGCCACAGAAAGUCGUGCACUGGCAAUAAUCAUCGUUUGGAGGAGGAAGAAAGGAUGGAUCCCGUACUAGUACUUAGUACCAGCAGCAGUACCAGUGCCAGUACCGGAGCCUGAUUCGGCAGCGUUUGCUCUUCUCUGACUCUAUUUUGUCGGCGAACAUGGAUCUAGUGCACGGUUGUUCAUGAUUAAGUUCGUGACUAGAUUUCAUGCUCGUCUAUUAAGUUGGGUCAACACAACGAACCGAAAGAGCAGAGCAACGCAGUUGUCGAAAAUUGCACCACAGCUGCACUGCUGCCAACACUCCCCCAGGAGAAACUUUGGGUUCGGUCGGGUUGGUUUGGGUGGGUCUUGGGCAAUUAGCAGACGCAUUAAUUAUGGGAACGAUAUUCUCAUAUAGUUUGACGGGAUUGGAUUCGGUAUUGCAUGAUUGACCCGUGACCCACAUAAUGGCACACGCCCCGCAGCAGCUUAUUCAAUGAGGGCGUGUAAGUUGGACGAAACAGAAGAAGAAAAAAAAACGAGUCAAUGGCCUUUAACCGAUGACUGUAGUAAGUCGCUGGCUCAGCAGCGGCAGCUCACACGCCCCUCGAGCGCCCAGCAGCAGCCCGCAUCUCGCGUCCCGUGGACAGUAGCAUAGCUUGACGCUGGGAUCGCUGAUUUGUGUGUUGUGUGUGCCUUUUUAUCGGUACUGUGACAGAGCUGCAGAGUGGAGUGUCAGGCAACAGCUAGUGACAGCAGCAGCAGCAGCGGCCCACCAAUUUAUGGGCUAGUCGCACGCGAUUAAAAAAAAUCGAAUGCGCGCUCGGCCUGGGUUGACAAAAACAAAUGGAAAAUGCAAUGCAAUGGAGGGAGAGUGGCUGUAGGAGCCAGCAUUCGCCAUUCGGCGUGUGAAAAUCCAACAGGGCUGACUUGACUGUGUUUGCUAAGGCUGUGGCGCCUGCGGGUAAGUGUUGCCAUCCAUGGAGAGUAACGGUGCUUGUUGUUUUGUGACCAGACCAGCGUUACCAGGCAGCAGCAACCAAGCCAACGACGAUGACUAUUGCGUGGGCGUCUAACUGUAACACCUGCUGCUGCUACUGCUUCGGUCGCUGCUGCCUAAUACCAACUUUUGCUAUUAAAUUAACAUUUCUCUGCACUCCCUCUCUCUUUCUCUCUCUCUCGCUCUUUCCAAUUUUAAUUUCAGCUAAAGGAAUGAACGAAUGAAGCCGGAACACCUUUCAACCCAGGUUCAUUGUUAUUGCUGCUACUGCUGCUUCACGCUUAUUUAAGUGCCAACGCACCAGAGAGAGCGAGAGAUAGAGGGAAAAGAGAGUCGAGUCUACUUUACAUAUUUUCUAAAUGAAUGCUGUUUGUUUUUUUUUUUCCUGUAUGAUUAUUUGUAGGUACAGACACAGGGCUGUAUCCAUGGAGUUUCAACCCCGGCCAAGAAGAGCAUUGAAUUGCAACGGUUGCAGUGGAAACUGAUGACUUUCUGGCCUGGCUUUCCCUGCACUGAAUUGCACUUCCUCCCAGCCAGUCAGGCAGCAUCAAGUUGGCAAUCAGGAACAACGACCAGAAUUCGCCUCGUCAAACGCUGAAACUAAUUGAUAUAAUAGUUAAAAUAACAAACUAACGAGAAAGAACCUGGUGGGCAGCGCGGUGGUAGAAGCAAAAGAGGUUGAACUGCAUCGCACCAACAGCAGACAGAGCGGACAGAGCAGAGCGCGGCGUUGGUGAAGUGCAAAACCUUUCCAAUUUGAAAAUAGUUUUCCUGCUAUGUGUGCUCGUUCCCACAAACAGAAAUACCAACAACAGCAGCAGCCAGCAGCAGCAGCAGUCAGAACAAGCACAGCAGCAACAAUGCCUGCACUUUACAACGACGCCAUUGGGCAGAGGAGGAGAGGAAAAACAACAACAACUACAAGAAGCAGACGGAGAAGAAGGAGCUGCAGCGGCAAGCGGUGGAUUGGAUCGGAUCGGGAAAAGUAGAAGCAACAGCAAUCGGUGGAGCGGGAGUAGCAGAACCACCAGCAAGCGAUGAUUGGGGAAAAGGAAGGAGCCAGAGCCUCAGCUGGAUAGGAGGGGGACUGGGAUGGUGGGGGAUACUCGUAGUCAGCAAAGAUGACAAUGCAGCGAUUAAAGCAAUGCAGUACGAAGAAGAGAUGCGGCGGAACAACUUGAACUCUCUAGUUGCUGUCGAUGCCUCAGCGACAGCAGAAGCAGCUGGAAAAAUGUUUACCCCAAUCCCCAAUGCGCGGCAUUUCCGUUUGCCAGCGGAGGGGGGAGGAUGCGGCAGCCGAUGCUGAUGCACUUUGCAAUCGGCACUGCAAUGUGCAAUGUUCUGACGGCAAAGAAAAAAUAAUCACAUUUAUUAAAUCAAAAUAAAAUAUGUUUGAAUGCACUUCCUAAACGCGCUGCGUCUUUGAUUU
rnacentral:lncRNA from 1 species